CAAAAGGAUGUUCUCUCUGUGCUCGUGACUCGUAUAAGCACUAUCAGUAAAGUCCUGCGUCCGCUCAACGACAGUAUCCAGGGCAGAUUCUCUCGAAAUGUUUCAAAGCGGAGAAAGCUGUGCUGCUGUCCCAGUCUUCCUGCUGUGGACUCUGAAAUUAAUGACCGAAUCAGAGGAACUUCUUCGAAACCAUCUGCUCCCACAUUUACAUAAUCGCCUUUCGCGUGCAUCGAAACUUUUCGGUAGAAUUUUGGAGAUGAAGACGAGGUUCAAUGAAGGCAAGGUGGAUGAAGAGAAGGUUUAAUGAAGGCAAGGAAGAUGAGGACAAUGAUAAAUCUUGAUGAAAGUAAUGGAAAUUGUGGAACUGUCAGAGCAAGGUUCAAACACUGGGUUGGCAAGAAAUUUUAGCGAUGUCGGUGCAUUAAUGCAGCGACUGCAAUUUGGCACGUGCCGAAGAAUGGCCCGCAACGUUUAUGACAUCCAUUUCGGCGUCGUUCGCUAUGCGACGCCCUUUAUCCGCGGUACGAUAUCAAUUCGCAAUGCUGUCAAUGCACCCGGUCCAUUCCGUGCUUCUUAAAUUUCGAAAAUGCUCGGAGGGAGAUGAUACGGCUGAAACUUCGCGUCGUGAUACGUGGAACACGUUGCGAAAUAUUCUCAACUUUCUAAUGCACCCUUUCCGUAUCGAGGAGGAAAUUAUCGGAAAAGCAUCUCGACAAGUGGAGGACAAGAUAUUGACGAGUGAUCGAGUAGAUUCGAUUUGAGAUUGGAAGUGUAUCUUUUUAAAGGGAAGUGUGUUUUGCAAUUUGGAACGUGGAGCGAUUCUUGGAGGGUUGAGAAUUUUUGCAUUUAUAAAUUUUUAAUUAUUAAAUUACUAUA